rnacentral:lncRNA from 1 species
GCGUCCGGACGCGCGACAGCUUCCACCCGCCUCAGGCAGUAUCAGCCGCGCCGCAGUCGGAGGAAAUAGACGCGGGGCCUGAGGCUCCUGGACUUGAGAGGCUGCAGAAAAGGCCCAGGAGGCUGUUGAUGACAUGAACGACCACCAGGAGAAGCUGGAGCAGGCUGAUGCACAGAAGGGCGGAGAAGAGGGACACGUGCCAGACAACAGCUGCAGAGGGCUCCAGGCAGACGGAGUUCCAGAGCGAACGGUCAUACAGAUAAUUCCUAUCCCAAAAAAUAAGGAGACCAGGGGUCAGGCGAUAAGUAAGGAAAGCCAAACAGGCAACCCCAGUAGAAAACUGGGGUCUCCCCUGACCGGGUCAUGGGACUGGGCUCAUGAGGGUGACCGUUACUGCUCCAUUUGCAAUUUUCUGAGUAUCAGAGGAGCAAGAUGCUAGGAUGUGUGACCCAAAGGAGCUUGUAGUUCGUCUGUGUGUCUUUUUGUCUCUCUCUCUCUCUCUGUCUGAAAAGACCAAGCCCAAGCCUCCACCCAUUUACCUACUAUGCAGGUCUUUGAAUGGGUAACCAUAUUUCCAAGCUUGUGUCUGAUUGAAGGAUGAAACAUCAAACAUGCAAAAAGGACCAUCUUUCAGAGCAACUCCAGAAGUGACAAAGCAAAUCAGGGCUCCAAGUAAAGCCAGGCCACCUGACAACAGAGCAGUAAGCACCUGCGGAGGGAGGAGAAACACUGAGCUAAGACGGGGUCGCAGCUGGGGAGCCUGCGGAGGGAGGAGAAACGCUGAGCUAAGACGGGGUCGCAGCUGGGGAGUCUGUGGGGCGGUCUGCACAGGUCUGACUUCUCUGGUCUCAGUGUUCUUCCGUCCUGUCAUGGGGGAGAAUUCUGUCCAUGGCACCCCCUUUGAAGCAUAACCCAUGGUGGGGAGGCCGUGAGGGGUUUCUAGGAGAGAAAGGACCAAGAAGCAGAAUCGCAGGCCCCGGAUCUCCCUGACCGUGAGUUCGCCUGAGCUGCUCAGCAGCUUGGCAUCACAAACCUUUUGCACAUUACAGCCAUUCAGCCUCUGAGCUAAAGAAGAAGCUACCACAGGCCCACCACUGACUCUUCUAAGGAAAAGCUGCAUUUUCAAAAGUUCCAGGUUCCCAACUCUGAUUCUUCUCUAUUUCAAAUCAAGGAUAAAAAAAAGGAAGGGAGGGAAGGAAGGAAAGAAAGAAGCAGGAAAGAAGGGAAGGAGAGAAGUGGGAGGGAGGGAAAGAAGGGAGAGAAACAGCGAGAGAGAAGCUGCAGCCAAGCUCUGAAAUGACUCCACUUCUGUCGCUGUGUUUCUCCAGCUGAGAGCUUUCUUGGCCAUCAGUCUGUGCUCCCACUGCCCUCCCAGAAAAUAACUGGGUUUCCUUCCUUGACAGGUUUCUAGCCUGCUUCUACAUUGGCUUCUUUCUCGUUCCUUCCUUCCUUCCCUUCCUUCCUUCUUUCUCUCUCUCUCUUUCUUUUUGAGACAGAGUCUCACUCUGUCGCCCAGGCUGGAGUGCAGUGGCACGAUCUCAGCUCACUGCAACCUCUGCCUCUGAGUUCAAGCGAUUCUCCUGCCUCAGCCUCCCAAGUAGCUGGGACUACAAGCAUGCGCCACCACACCCAGCUAAUUUUUGUAUUUUUAGUAGAAAUGGGGUUUCACUGUGUUGGUCAUGCCGGUCUCAAUCUCCUGACCUUGUGAUCCACCUGCUUCAGCCUCCCAAAGUGCUGGGAUUACAGGCAUGAGCCACCGUGCCCGGCCCAUAUUGGAUUCUUUCUUAGGGUUCUAGAUUUUUUUCUCCCUCCCCCAAAAAUGCCUAUUUUAAAAAUGUG